rnacentral:rRNA from 1 species
UACGGAGGGGGUUAGCGUUGUUCGGAAUUACUGGGCGUAAAGCGCGCGUAGGCGGAUUAGAAAGUUGNGGGUGAAAUCCCGGGGCUCAACCUCGGAACUGCCUCCAAAACUGCUAGUCUAGAGUUCGAGAGAGGUGAGUGGAAUUCCGAGUGUAGAGGUGAAAUUCGUAGAUAUUCGGAGGAACACCAGUGGCGAAGGCGGCUCACUGGCUCGAUACUGACGCUGAGGUGCGAAAGUGUGGGGAGCAAACAGG